rnacentral:lncRNA from 1 species
AUUUGGAAAUAGUAUCUCUUGUUUUCCCCGGAGCUCCCACCAUAAAGACUGGGGAGGGGGAGGUGAGAAGGCCAGGCAAAGGGAGCGGUCCCAGCUGACUUUCUCCCUCCCUUCAGUUGAUGAUCAGAUUUAAUUCAAUAUCUAAAGCAAACAUGAUUAUCCGUGUGACCAAAUCUGUGCGUCAAUAGCACUCAGCGCAACACGCCCAGGGACGUGAUUACACUUUAUUCUCGUGUUGCGCACCGGCCCCUGGAUAAUUGAGGGCGCGGGAGUCUUUCUAAUAUCCCUGGAAAGGUCCUGUCGCAUCUCCAGGCUCAUCCGCUGGGAAAGGAACAGUUUCCCUAAAUAGUGAAAAGUCUCCCUUUGUUCUCCUUACAAGCUUGGAAAUAUUGGGGGUUUUGUCUUGCUAUUAGUAAAGGCCAGAAAUUUCCCUUCAAAUUGUUUGUGGUGCAAUGUUCAACCUGCUCUGGUAACAACCACUCAACAAUCUUCUAGCAACUUCCCCUAACCCGGAUCCUUGGGGGAGGGAAAGAAGUGUGUGUUCAGAGUUGGCUGAAGAGGGGUUGUCAAAAGGCCUCCGGUGCAGCCUGGAAGACUCAAGUUGGUUUUGUUUGUACCAGGUCCUAGGCCUACCAAGGGCCAAGAAUAAUCACAAGAACCUUCCAGGCCUGCAGGGAAGAAGGGAGAAGCAAAGAAGGCCCAAACAUUUGCAGAUUUUCACGGAGUAUGGGUUGAGGACACAUUUGGGUUGGUGGACAGACCCCCAGACCUGCAGUCCGGGUGUGUUGCUGAUUCUGCCAAGAGCCUGGAGGUGGGCCUGGCGCCCGCCUCUCUGUCCUCGGGUCCCGUAGAGUCAAUAAAAGCUCCUGCGGAGCCCUGUGUGGCCCUAACCCCGGCGCCCUGGGAGCGCACCCGGCGCGGGGUCCGCUUUGGCAGUCUAUCUUCGCCCAAUCUACAGCGGGCCGUACAAAACGGCACAAUGGGAAAGCUGGGAGCCGGAGAUGUUAGAGGCGUGCAUAUUAAAAAGGGACAGAGAAAGGAUCGCAGGGGACAGAGAGAGGGGAAGAGGGAGAAGGGGCUCACCCUCCCCCCGGCCCCACCCCGCACCAUUCAGCGCGCUUAUCGCGGGCAGUGAAUCCCGGAGUCAGGCAGAAGUCUCCUUGGGGUUUUGUUGGGCCUGUCACUGGGUCCCUUUGUCAUCCUCGGACUCCAUGCUGGAUUCCAUAUGGCCAGCUGGGCCGAGGGAGCGCGAGGAGGGACCCGCACAAAACCCAAAUUGUGUCCGGCUUUCAAACCCUGUAUUGUUGUCUGUGAAAGGAAGACGCAUUAAAAAUUCGUGCUAUAUCUAUUGGGGAGGAGGAUGGAGGAGGGGAAAAAAGCCACCCCUGUCUUUGAUGGCUUCAGAGGGCGCUUGCCCCGCCUAGGCCCCGUGACACACUGAGAAGAAAAUCUCUCUCUCUCUUUCUCUCUCUCUCUCUCUCUCUCUCUCUCUCCCUCCUUCCCUCCCUGUCCCUGUCUCUCUCUCCCUCUCUUCGCCCCCACUCCGACCCACUACCAAACUUAGGACCUAACGCUCUGGUCGUGGUCUGUGAGCCAUGUGCCUUUGCGACGCUCCUGUGUGUUGGCGCUGACAGCCAGGCUUCUCCUGCUUGGGCGCCCAUUGUCGAAGCCAUCGGACGGUUCCGGGGCUCCGGAGGCAAUCGUCAAGGCCUGGUUGAUGCUCCGGUCCCGUUUGGGUUUCACGGCUGUAGGGCCUUUUCAGUUCCUUCAAAAAAGGUUCUGAGAGGCUGAGGGCCCGACCGCGUGCCCAGCCUGGCUCAGUUUCGGCCCUAGGGAUCCCAAGAGCACUUGAUAUUGGCGGAGCCGCUCGAUGACCAAACCAGCUAAGGGAGCGCCUUCGUUUGAAUUUCGCGUGGUGAUCCUCCUUACAUCUUCGUGCCACUGGGAAACCAGUUCAGAAACUUCUUCCAACAGCUUUCCCUUCUCCCAGAUUGGAGGUGGGAGAGCCUUUCUCUUUAAUUUUGUGUCUCCUGCCUUUUUUUGGUUUGCAAAAUUCAGUAACAGGAAGACACAGCCGGGUUCCCAAGGAAUUUGCCCAUUUUUGCCUCCCCCUAAGCCAGCUGAGUUAACGCAGGGUAGUGGGAGAUAAUUUGGGUCGUGCUGUCUCCACCUUAAGAGGCAGGUCAAAACUCCGAGCUCCCCAUAUAAACAAUAUGUGCUAAACAGAAGAGUUCAACGCUGAGGGCUGUGAAAAUAACAAUUAGAACUCAAAUGAGCACUACUGAGUUGGGGGAAAUUUCAGCCAAUCCAAAACUUGGGUAUCCUCCUUUCCCCCCCUUUUAGUGCCAUCGUAGAAUCGGAUAAAUUGAUACGAAUGGGAAACCCCCUUCUCGACACUCCCCACGCCAGCCAGGGAAAUAACUUAUUUUCCUUACCUAUUGACUGUUGGGCUUAGUGGAGACCUGGUGUGGAUUUCUCGAGCCUUUUCAAGAGCCUGGUCAUUGAAAAGCUAAUCCAAUAUUUACCGAGCAUAAGGACAGUUCUCAGACGUAUUUA